AAGAAAAUACCAAGGAGACUGAAGAGAGAUGCUGGACAUCACAUCACCACAAGAUGUCCUUGAAACGGAAACGACAGCAAUUACUACUAAGCAUAGGUUCAACACUGUAGACAAAUUGGAAUAAACGGGAGUAAAAUACUGGUAUCACUCAAGCAGAAGGACUAUUGUUCAGUGUAGAGAGCACCGCUGAUGACGUUUUUGAUGUUAUCACAACAACCGUAUGCUACCCUACUUCAGUUUCAUUACAAAGGUUGCAUAUGUGAUCCUGGCAGAAAGAAGAGACAAGACAAGUGAAAGCAUUGCAUUGAAAGGGAAGUUUAAAAACUAGUAAUUUUUCUCUUAAACAUAAAAUAUUUUAUUAAAGGU